CGGGGUGUGGCGCAGUUGGCAGCGCGCUACGUUCGGGACGUAGAGGUCGUCGGUUCAAAUCCGACCACCCCGACCA
rnacentral:tRNA from 2 species